rnacentral:rRNA from 1 species
UGGGCAACCUGCCCUCAGCUCUGGGAUAACCCCGGGAAACCGGGGCUAAUACCGGAUACGACCUCCGCGGGCAUCUGCGGAGGUGGAAAGGUCUUCCGGCUGAGGAUGGGCCCGCGGCCUAUCAGCUUGUUGGUGGGGUGACGGCCCACCAAGGCGACGACGGGUAGCCGGCCUGAGAGGGUGACCGGCCACACUGGGAUUGAGACACGGCCCAGACUCCUACGGGAGGCA